GUAGGGAAUCUUGGACAAUGGGCGAAAGCCUGAUCCAGCCAUGCCGCGUGAGUGAAGAAGGCCUUAGGGUUGUAAAGCUCUUUUGGCGGGGACGAUAAUGACGGUACCCGCAGAAUAAGCCCCGGCUAACUUCGUGCCAGCAGCCGCGGUAAUACGAAGGGGGCUAGCGUUGUUCGGAAUUACUGGGCGUAAAGCGCACGCAGGCGGAUUGAUAAGUCGGGGGUGAAAUCCCGGGGCUCAACCUCGGAAUUGCCUUCGAUACUGUUAGUCUUGAGUCCGGGAGAGGUGAGUGGAAUUCCUAGUGUAGAGGUGAAAUUCGUAGAUAUUAGGAAGAACACCAGUGGCGAAGGCGGCUCACUGGCCCGGUACUGACGCUCAUGUGCGAAAGCGUGGGGAGCAAACAGGAUUAGAAACCCCGGUAGUCC
rnacentral:rRNA from 1 species